CUGUGCAGCUUUUGGCUCUUCCCUGAGGUCACAAUGACCAUGAGUAAGGUAAACAUUAGGAAUCAAUCCAGGACCUCAAGGCAGCUGUGACAGCCCAACAAAAACAAAAGACUUCCAGCGAUGCCUCAGAAAGUGACAAGAGCAAAGAGAGGUUGUAUGCGCGAAGGCUCUUAAAGGGUUCAACAGAAUGGCACUAGGAAAGGGCACAGAUGUCUGGCCGUGUCUUCCAUCUUCCACAGCAAGCCUUGCUUCUCAGCUCCAUCUCAAGCUACCAUUAAGUAUGACCAUCAACUCUAUCUUUACCGUGUGAGGACCCACCGCAGGAAAAACACCUGACCGCCCUACUCCACUGCCACUAACGCGGGCUCAUUAGCCGUCUUCUUCAAGCACUGUCGGCAGAUGUGUGAGUUGUUUCCAUUUGAGACAGCAGCAGCUCAGCUUUCCUGGAAGGACUCUUAGUGCUCUGCUUUAAAAUAUUACAAAUAAUAUUUUAAAUUUC